CGUUUCUAAGCUCCUCAGUACUGGCGGUCCGGCCGGAGUAGGCGGUAUUGUAUGUCUGUGGAGGAGGUAAUACAUCAAAGCCUCUGUCCAAAGAGAAGAGAUGCGCCGAGGCGGAUCUGUGUGCCUCCGCACCAGUAAAGGGUGGAGGACACCUCUAGUUUCCAACUCAAAUACACGAUCCUUACCGCGCGGCUGGCUGGGUGAGCGCUCACAACGAGAAAAGAGGAGAGUCGUCUCUUACCUCCACUUCCGGCGGGGAUCAGACAGAAGAGAAUGGCACUACGAUAGGGUUGGUCUGCAAACUGCGCUCGCGCCGCUAGGCUCCGACUUCCGGAUCCCAGCCUUGCGGCCCUGGUUGGCCCGCCUUACGUCCCCCCCCCGAGGGGCGGGGCCUCGGAUUGACGGCUCGCGCCCGCCAUCCUUACUCCGCAGGCGCAGUGGUCCCGCCUCCCCCGCUGCCCUGUGAGGUGAGGAAGAAGCCGAGAGGGGGUAGGUUGGUAGCGGCGGGUCGCCAUAUACCUACUUGUAAGCCAAGAUUUUGCCUGCCGGCCUCUACCUGGACCCGAAUAUGCGUGUUCCCGAAUCAUAGUGACCAAGCAAUCACCAUGAUCGCAGAUUUUAUUUAUUUAUUCAUGAGAGACAGAGAGAGACAGAGGCAGAGCGAGAAGCAGGCUCCCCGCGGAGCAGGGAGCCCGAUGCAGGACUCGAUCCCAGGACCCUGGGAUCAUGACCUGAGCCGAACGCAGACGCUCAACCGACUGAGCCACCCAGGCGUCCCAAGAAUUUGAAUUUCUAACAAGUUUCCAAGCGAUGAUGAUGAUGAUGAUGAUGAUGAUGAUGAUGAUGAUGAUGGAGAAGAAGGGGGAGGGGGAGAAGAAUCAUCUGGGGCUGCUGCUAGUCCAGGUACCAUAUUUUGAGACCUACUGGCAAAGAAUAUGAGAUUCUCAGUUAAUUUUGUUGUCUUCAUUGUGCUUUUCCGUGUUUUCCACAUAGUCAAUGAAUAUGAAUUACUUUACAGAGAGGUUUUUGUUGUUUGUUUUAAAUUCACCUUAAUCUUUACUUCAAACUCUUAUUUCCCUCAUAGGCAUCCAUUCUAUGGUAUUUUAUGCAGAUCUUUUUGCUUAUAUGUGUUCUUGCAAAAUAUGUAUUAUUGUUUUAGGUGCAUUUAUUUCCUCAAAAUUUUUAUUUUUCACUUUUUCAAAAUUCAGAAAAUUUGAAAGAAUAGUACAGUGAAAGCCCAUAUACCCUUAAUAUUGCAUUUCUCUGAUUACUAAUGAAUUUUUCAGCAUCACUUCAUAUGUGUGUUAAAUGCCUCUUUUGUAAAUUGCCUGCUUAUAUAGUUGGCCCAUUUUUCCAGUGAGUUUCCUAUCUUUCCUAUUGAUUUGCUAGAGUUCCUUAUGUAGUCUAGCUACUAGUCCCCUGUCAGUUUCAGACAUUGCAAAUAUUCUGUCCCUAUUUUAACUUUGUCCGUGUUAGCCUUUUUUGAAUAGAAAUUGUUGUUUUUAAUGCAAUCAAAUCCAUCAAAUUUUUGCUCUAUGGUUUCUGGUUUGGGAGUUUUAUUUAGGAACUAGUUAUCUCCUCCCAGGUCACAAAGAUAUUCUCUUAUUUUUUUCUAUUAACUUUAUAGUUUUAUCUUUCACCUUUAGGUUUUAAUCCAUCUAGAAUCCACUCUCAUAUGUAGUGAUAGGUAGGGAUGCAAUUUUAUUUUUUUAUACACAGUGAGCCACAUUUCCCACCAUCAAAUACCAAACAAUCCUUACUUUUUCAUUGAUUUGCUGUGCCACCUUUGUCACAUAUUAUAAAACACACAUGCACAAGUCUGUUUCAGUUCUUGCAUUAAUACUGCCUUGCUUUUGAUAUUUUGUAAUAUAAGAUUUGAUAGGGCAAGUACCUCUGCUUUAGUCUUCUUUUAGUAUUGUCUUAGCUAUAUCUCCACAUAAAUUUUAAAAAGAGUUUAUCAAGCUCUUCAGAAAUCCGACUGGAAUUCUUAUUAGGAUCACACUAAAUUUACAGAUUAAUUUGAGAGAGUUGACAUCAUCAAAAUAAUAACUCAUCCAAGAACAUGGACUAUCUCCUCAUUUGUUGAAUUCACCUUCUAUCUAUGUCCUUUAUUAAGAGUCGAUUUUUCUCUUUGGAAUUGUGUGUUUUUACUAAUUUAAUUCCUAGUUGCUUUGUAGUAUUUGUUACUAUUGUGAAUAUUUUAUAGUUAUUUCUUUUUGAAUAGAUAAUACACAUAUAUUUUGAAUAUCAAAACAAAAUAAAAAUUAUACUUUGAAAAGUGUCACUCUUGUCCAUUUUACCCAAUUGCCACUAUACACACCCCCAGCAGUUACCACUUUUUUUUUUAAUUUCUUAUUUAUAAUUAACAUGUGGUGUUAUAUUAGUUUCAGGUCUAAUGAUUCAACAAUUCUAUACAUUACUGAGUGUUCAUCAAGAUAAGUGUACUCCUAAUCCCCUCUAUUUCACCGUUCCCCCCGGCCACCUCCCCUCUGGCAACCUCCAAUUCAGUCUCUGUAUUUAAGAAUCUGGUAUGUUGUUGGUUUUUUUUGGGGGGGGGUCUCUUUUUUUCCUUUGCUCAUUUGUUUUGUUUCUUAAAUUCCACAUGUGAAUGAAAUCAUAUGGUAUUGUCUUUCUCUGACUUAUUUCACUUAACAUUAUACCAUCUAGGUCCAUCCAUGUUGUUGCAAAUGGCAAGAUCUCAUUCUUUUUAUGGCUGCAUAGUAUUCCGUUAUAUACAGAAUAUUUUAUAUUUAAUAUUUUUUUUCUUGUAUUUAAGUUUACUUUCAACAAUCAAGACAGACUCUAUGAAUGACAAGAGGUUCAAAAAACCCUAUAUUUUAACAUGUUUUUUAAAAAACAAGACAUUCUGGGGCGCCUGGGUGGCUCAGUCGUUAAGCGUCUGCCUUUGGCUCAGGUUGUGAUCCUGGGGUCCUGGGAUCGAGCCCCGCAUUGGGCUCCUUGCUCAGCCGGGAGCCUGCUUCUCCCUCUCCCACUCCCCCUGCUUGUGUUCCCUCUCUAGCUGUCUCUCUCUUUCUGUCAAAUAAAAAAAAUAAAAAACAAAAAACAAAACAUACACACUGAUCUCUAUCUGGUAUCUUUGUACAGUCAUUUUGGUACACAGAUACUGACUUCAAGCUUCUUUUCACCUUAAGAAUUGCUUUCUUUUAAGUUCAACAAAGAACAUUAUGAAAUAAGAAUUGUAUCAAAAAAGGGACAGAAAAGACUGUAAGGAAGGAAGGAAGUAGAGGGAACAAAGGAAGGAAGUAGAGAAUGCCUCCUUAAUUUUGAUUUUUGUAUAUUGUUUCUUUAAUGCAUUAAAUAGAAAACCCAGUAACUGAACACGCCAACUCCCCUAGAAUAAGGAAAGACAAAAUUAACAAAGACAUGAUGGAGAUAUGUAGGUACAUUACAGUCAAUCUCCCUCUUCAGAAUGUUCUGUUAACCAGAUUCUACUGAAAAGUAUCACAUCAGGGCGCCUGGGUGGCUCAGUUGGUUAAGCGACUGCCUUCGGCUCAGGUCAUGAUCCUGGAGUCCCGGGAUCGAGUCCCGCAUCGGGCUCCCUGCUCAGCAGGGAGUCUGCUUCUCCCUCUGACCCUCCUGCCUCUCAUGUUCUCUGUCUCUCAUUCUCUCUCUCUCAAAUAAAAAAAAAAAAAAUCUUUAAAAAAAAAAAGUAUCACAUCACUGAAACAUCCCUAUGUUCAAAAGCCAGUGAUCUAUUUGAUA